rnacentral:tRNA from 1 species
GGGGAUGUAGCUCAGUGGCGCAGCACCUGCCUUGCAAGCCCAAGGUCCUGAGUUUGAUCCCCAGUGUCCCCC